rnacentral:tRNA from 1 species
GGUCAGGAUAGCUCAGUUGGUAGAGCAGAGGACUGAAAAUCCUCG